rnacentral:rRNA from 1 species
GGAGUUUGGGCCGUGUCUCAGUCCCAAUGUGGCCGUUCACCCUCUCAGGCCGGCUACUGAUCGUCGCUUUGGUGGGCCGUUACCCCGCCAACUGGCUAAUCAGACGCGGGUCCAUCUCAUACCACCGGAGUUUUUCACACUGCAUCAUGCGAUGCUGUGCGCUUAUGCGGUAUUAUCAACCGUUUCCAGUUGUUAUCCCCCUGUAUGAGGCAGGUUACCCACGCGUUACUCACCCGUCCGCCACUAAGUCAACCAGAGCAAGCCCCGGUUGCUUCGUUCGACUUGCAUGUGUUAGGCACGCCGCCAGCGUUCAUC